CAGAGUAACUGUUGUCGGCGUGACGGUAUCCAACCAGAAAGCCACGGCUAACUACGUGCCAGCAGCCGCGGUAAUACGUAGGUGGCAAGCGUUAUCCGGAUUUAUUGGGCGUAAAGCGAGCGCAGGCGGUUUUUUAAGUCUGAUGUGAAAGCCCUCGGCUUAACCGAGGAAGCGCAUCGGAAACUGGGAAACUUGAGUGCAGAAGAGGACAGUGGAACUCCAUGUGUAGCGGUGAAAUGCGUAGAUAUAUGGAAGAACACCAGUGGCGAAGGCGGCUGUCUGGUCUGUAACUGACGCUGAGGCUCGAAAGCAUGGGUAGCGAACAGGAUUAGAU
rnacentral:rRNA from 1 species